AAUAAGAAGUAAUGUUUAUAUUUUUGUUACAAUAUUGUCCGAUUUAAAAUCGUAUAUUUGUAUUUAAUUAUGAAUACAAAUAAUUGGUAUGUUUAUAGAAAUUAUAAUUGGUAUGUUUACAUUUAUAAAAAAAAUAAUGCAUAUUUACGUUUUCUAUUACUAAGAUAAAUAUUUUAUUUCAGAUUUUUAAAAGAUAGUGAGAGAAAAAUUAAAUGGUUUUCUCUGUUAGGAUUUAUUCAUAGCAUAAUAUUAAAAAGUCGAGCAAAAGAGAACUCAAGAACAGCUGAUUUUUUUUAUAAGGAAUUGAAGAAAAUAUUUAAAAACUGAUGAAUUUUCAUAGCCAUUUAUGUCGCGAUUUAUGGUGUUUCAGUUGUUUCAAUAUCACCUAGGAAAUUAACAUUAAGAUAUCAGGAUCCUGCAUAUAACGAGAUAAGAAGUAUGAUCUUGUUAGGAUACCUAUUCCGUCACAAUAUGAAGUGAAGAUAUUCAUGGUGUGGAAGUCGUUACUUUAAUUACAUAGUGCCUAUGAAAUUGGUCCUUUACAUCAGGUUUAAAAUUGACGUAAUGCUACUAUGCAAAAUAGUGAGAGAUGUGAAUCCUAGGCAGAGCUACAGAAUUACUUUUGUUGAGAGACAAAUUAUGAUAGUGAUUGGAAUCGCAUAUUCUAGACUUUUAUUUAAAAAAUUAUUUGUUGGGAAUGAACUUUUAUAGUGUGGAGGAAUACCUGCAAAUUAUAAUAUGAGGCCUACGUAUAUGAUAAUUUUAUUAUUAUCUGUUGUGUUUGUUUAUGUGUAUUUUGUAUUAUAUAUUUGUGUUAGCGUUAAGAAUUUAUUGACUAUUCCUAUACAAUUGUACAUUGUUUUAUGGAAAUAAAUAAAUGAUUGAUUGAUUGAAUAAGUUAGGAAACCAUACGAUCGA